rnacentral:tRNA from 1 species
GGCCAACAGAUCGCCAGAUCGUUGAGCUGCAUUGGCGGGAUUUCGCCGUCUUCGUUUCUCUUUCUUCGCGGACGAACACGCGCCGGGGCUGCGCUGUGCGAUUGCAUCUGCGCUGGUCGCCGAUGCAUGCACGCAAGACCCUAGUCCUGAAAAGGAUAGCGUUAGGGCUUGUAGCUCAGUUGGUUAGAGCGCGCGCUUGAUAAGCGUGAGGUCGGAAGUUCAAGUCUUCCCAGGCCCACCACUUUCAUCGAGUGAGCAUUCGUCUUCUGGUUACGGGGCCAUAGCUCAGCUGGGAGAGCGCGUGCUUUGCAAGCAUGAGGUCGUCGGUUCGAUCCCGUCUGGCUCCACCAGAUGGUUUGAUCACCGAGAUCAUGUACCGUCGUCCGCGAAACAUCACUUCGCAUUCACUAGUCUGGAUAGACAGUGAACUGCGUGUUUUCUGACAUCGUAAAGAGGAGAUCGAUCCGAGUUGGGUCGUGCAGCAUAUCGUUGCGCGAGCCUUCAUUAUCUCCGGAUCA